AGAAAAUAUGUUUUACCAUACCUAUACAAUAAAUAAAAGUGUACACAGUCCCAGUGCUAACUAUUUUUAUGAAUGGGACAGCAACAUGUUCGUUUAAUCUAUACCCCCACACAUCCACGCACAUACCAAAAAUUAUAUUUUUUUAUAAAUAAAAUCAAUGGAUUUAUUUGCAAAUGGGUUUUUGUAUCUAUAAAAAACUACUAUGACAACUGGGGC